GUCAUCUGCAGGGACCUUGAUGUUGGGGUACAGGAUGAGCUGGAAAGAGGGUACCCGAUGACCCAUGUACACCAGGCCAAUCAGCAAGAAUUUGAGGUCGGGCGCGGUGGCUCACACCUGUAAUCCCAGCACUUUGGGAGGCCGAGGCGUGUGGAUCACGAGGUCAAGAGAUCAAGACCAUCCUGGCAAACACGGUGAAACCGCGUCUCUACUAAAAAUACAAAAAAAAAAAAAAAAUUAGCCAGGCACGGUGGCGGGCGCCUGUAGUCUCAGCUACUCGGGAGGCUGAGGCAGGAGAAUGGUGUGAACCCUGGGAGGCAGAGCCUGCAGUGAGCCAAGAUCGCGCCACUGCACUCCAGCCUGGGCGACAGCGAGACUCCAUCUCAAAAACAAAAAAAAGAAUUUGAAACACUUGUGUUACAAAAGUCGUUAGAAGUAUUCACUUUAAAAAUAAAUAAAUA
rnacentral:lncRNA from 1 species